GCUCGGAUCGCCUAAUCUGGUAUGGCACAAAAAUAGUGUAAGCCUGGAAAGCUUGCGAGCGCAAGCUCUUGUGGGUUCAAAUCCCACUCCGAGCG
rnacentral:tRNA from 1 species